AUGAGGAAGCGUGCCCCGAGAGCAAAGAGGAAAGAGAACGAUUGCCUCUUACUUAAAGCACGCAUCGCCCAGAACCAAAUUAACAACAAGUUGUUCGAAUCAGAGAGUAAUAUUAUUUCUGACGGCAUGAAUGAUGCAGAAAUAGAUUUGGUACUUGUUAAAAAUAAAGCAGACGUACUUGAAGCACGCAAUUACGUCCAUGUCCAGCCAUUUCUUGUUGGCAAAUACUUUGAUGAGUGCAGCUCCAGUUGCUGUGAGUUACAUAAAUAUUGCAUGGAUCAAAUGUUAGAAGGUCAUCAUGUUCUGCUAGUCUCCUACAACAGAGAUAAUUUUCAACGCGAUGUUGGUUCCACCAGUGUGAAUUUUGAGGACUUACAUCUCUUCUUCAACUUCAAUGAGCUCGAUGCCACUCUUGUUAGAUGCCUGAUUUUGGGAUUAAAUGCGCAGAGAAGAAAAAGGGAGAGUGUGUAUUUCAUAGAUCCUGCAUUAGCAAAUGGCACAACAUUACAUGGUAAGGAUCAACGGGAGUAG
rnacentral:rRNA from 1 species